ensembl:miRNA
GUUAAUAUUAGGUUGGUGCAAAAGUAAUUGUGGCUUCUGACAUUAAAAGUAUUGGCAAAAACCACAGUAACUUUUGCACCAACCUAAUA